ACAAGCAGCGGAGCAUGCGGCUUAAUUCGACGCAACGCGAAGAACCUUACCGAGGCUUGACAUAUACCGAAAAGCAGCAGAGAUGUUGUGUCCGCAAGGGCGGUAUACAGGUGGUGCAUGGUUGUCGUCAGCUCGUGUCGUGAGAUGUUGGGUUAAGUCCCGCAACGAGCGCAACCCUCGUUCUGUGUUGCCAGCAUUUAGUUGGGGACUCACAGGAGACUGCCGUGGUCAACACGGAGGAAGGUGGGGAUGACGUCAAAUCAUCAUGCCCCUUAUGUCUUGGGCUGCACGCAUGCUACAAUGGCAGGUACAAAGGGCUGCGAUACCGUAAGGUGGAGCGAAUCCCAAAAAGUCUGUCUCAGUUCGGAUUGAGGUCUGCAACUCGACCUCAUGAAGUCGGAGUUGCUAGUAAUCGUAGAUCAGCAACGCUACGGUGAAUACGUUCCCGGGGCUUGUACACACCGCCCGUCACGUCACGAAAGUCGGUAACAC
rnacentral:rRNA from 1 species